UCCUUUUAAGGUGCGAGGAAUAUUACCCUGCUGGCAGUGGUUUCUGAGCUGAGUAAAGAGGAAUAUCUGAAGAUCUGAGAUUUUAAAGGUGAUCUACAGUCCGUAUGUAAACAAAGCCUUUGUUUACAUUUUUGUGUCCAAAAUAUUGAGCUUUAUUCGACAACUAUUUAUAUUUUCAAGCUUCUAGAAUAUAAUAAAUGAUCAAGAAACAACAAUCAGGCUUUUCAAGAACUCAAAACAUAGUCAAACUGUUUGUAUCAUAAAAAGUGGGCUCAUUUGUGCACAUGCGCAGAUCGGACUGUAGAUCACCUUUAAAGGGGCCCUACAGUCAUUUUUUAGUCGAAAAGCCACCUGAAGUAAUUGUUUACAUUUUUUGUUGUCGCUACUUGACAUGCGCACUACGGCAUGCAUGCGUUUUCCGGUAUGCGGAAGUACUCAUACUCAUGGAUACUGCAUGUAAGAUACAGCCAAACGAAUCUCCGUGGAGUCCCCUACUUAAGGUGGGUUUUCGACUAAAAAUGACUGUAGGGCUCCUUUAAGUGGCAGAUUUGGAGAAUGAACAAGGACUAUGUUAAAGCAUAUAGACGCAUUUAGAUAAAGCCCGGUUCAAAAGAGUCCAACUUUGUUGUUCUUACAAUUAAUGUUGGACGAUUUUGGCUAUUGUUGGGGGAGAGUGUUCAGUUCAAUGUUGCAUAAUGUUGGUGAAAAUUUUAAACAAACCACAGCCUAUCGAAGAGAAGACGGCUGUGAGACUAAUUAUAAUAACUAUAUAACUCAUUAUCUAUUUUGUAUUUUUGCCCAACUAACCAAUAGCAAUGUUUUAGGAACGUUAACUAUCCGUGACUCGAACAAUAGGGAAAUUAGAAAUUGGUAUUGGUG